rnacentral:lncRNA from 1 species
GGGGUUUGAAGCAAGUGGCCCCGGUGUGGGUGGCGGAGGCCGCGUGUCGAGACGAGGGUCUGCGUUUCUGUCCUGCCGAGGGACGAGGAAGGGAGACCCAAGGCCGAGACAGGUGUGUGGCACAGCCUGUGACCACGGGUAGGAACGAUGCUUGACGGUUUCAACACUGCCGAGAGAAGUGUUCUCCCCACAGGAAAUAAGUAGGUCAGGUGCCAUCACCCGCUAGCUAGCUGGCCGUCGCCCCGCAGUGGGCAUCGAGAGGACGCCCCACGUCCUGUCCACAUCGUUGGGCUCGUUCCCCGGGUUCUGCCUCCUCCACCCAGACAGCCCCGAUGGGAAACAAUGAGUGGGCGUCAGCCUGGCUGGUCACACACGAGAGACUCGUCAUCAUGCCCCGAGCAACGCUGAGUAACCACCGUGUAGGAGACGCCCUGCCGGGCUGGGCGCUGAGCUGUCCCAGGGGAGCCGCCCGGUUGCCCAGGUCCUGUGCAAACACCACGCCUUUUUCUAUAAGGAAAAGAGCGCCUGGACUCAGUCACC